rnacentral:rRNA from 1 species
UACAGAGGGUGCGAGCGUUAAUCGGAAUUACUGGGCGUAAAGGGUGCGUAGGUUGUUCGUUAAGUCAGAUGUGAAAUCCCCGGGCUCAACCUGGGAAUGGCAUAUGAAACUGGCGAACUAGAGUCAAGUAGAGGGUAGUGGAAUUCCUGGUGUAGCGGUGAAAUGCGCAGAUAUCAGGAGGAACACCGGUGGCGAAGGCGGAUCUCUGGGCCUUACCUGACGCUGAGGCGCGAAAGCUAGGGGAGCGAACAGG